rnacentral:rRNA from 1 species
CCAGGUCAGGCGGGCCACCC